AUGCAGGGACUUCCACUUGCACUUUGGAACUUCCUCUCCCUCUCUUCUUCCCUUGUGUCUCCAACCGUCUGGAGCAGAUUUUGGGAGGGGGGGAGAUGAGAGGGAGGGGAAGGUCUGAGCUGCAAGUGGAAGCCCUUUU